UGGGGAAAUCAAAACAAACACAAAAUGGCUGCCGUCGGAGACGACGCUGCUGCAAUGGACAGCAUUUCCAGGUCGCCCGGAGUCCAUUCUGCUCCUUCGAACGCCACUGCGAAUGUAACGAGUUACGCGGAAAGCGCAGAGGACGUGAAGGAAGCUCCGCUGCCAGCCGUUAAAAAAAACAUGACAAGCGAUGGCGGUGUGGAAACAGCAGAAGAAGCCGUGGAGCCCACAGAGCCCGACAUCAAUGUGCUCUGUACCGACAUGUUUGAAAAGAUGUCCGUCUUUCUUCAAGGAGAACUCACUGCCACUUGUGAGGAUUAUCGUCUCUUAGAGAACAUGAACAAGCUGACUAGUCUAAAAUACAUGGAGAUGAAAGACAUCAGCAUCAAUAUCAGUCGAAACUUGCAAGAUCUCAACAAUAAAUAUGCUAGCCUUCAGCCUUACCUGGACCAGAUAAAUCAGAUUGAGGAGCAAGUGUCAUCAUUGGAACAAGCUGCCUAUAAACUGGACGCAUAUUCCAAAAAACUAGCUUCCCCUGGGAGUUUCCCAGAAAAGAAAUUAAAAGACAUCUUGAGGAUAAGAUGGGGAGCAAGCAGGUCCCUCGCUUCAUAAAUCUCCAUAAGUGAACAUUGGGGCCCAGAGAACAACAACAAGGAAAACCAGGAAAAACCUGAGCAGACACGAGAAGGAAGCUGUCGGCCAUGGAAGAGGAAGGGCGGAGGAAGAGGAAGCUGCCAGUUAAGCGGCCAUCAAAUGCCUCAUUCAUAUGACUUCAACCAGUAGGUGUCGGUAAUGCGCAUUGAAGCUGGUGCCACCACGCCGUACAGCAAAACGAAGAAGAAAAUGACGUCACUUCCCGUUCACGAACGAGUCGUCAAUUGCAUUUCCCGAUGACCAACGGAACGGAGCUGUGAGUGAACGAGUCAGUGAUUUGCAUUUCCAGUUCAUCGCGAGAACGAAUCAGUGAGGGAACGAAUCCUGACUUUCCCGUUCGCGAACGAGUCAAUGAGUCAAAACUGCCUUCCUUCCCGUGCAUCAACGGAUCAGUCAGUGAACGUGUUGCGUCUCCCUCCUGGCGUGAACUACGUAAGCCAGAAUGUAGAUUUGCGAUUUGCCAAGGAAAGAAAGAACCACUUUUAUGCACGUUUUCUCCAAACUAACGGCUAACUUUAUUGCAUGAAGGGAUGCGCCGUUAUGCAACAACGGGGAGAUGACGCUUCUCUUUGGCUAAUCUUGAUUUUAUAACACUUACAGUAGUUUUUAAAUAACGUGUAUAUAGGCAUUUAUACGCCUAAAUAUUGUUAUCCAAUACAUCUACUGCAACAUUAGAGUGCUGGUUUGAAAUUUACUUGUAUUAUUAUUAUUAUUUUAAUAAACAUUAAAACCUGUUAAAACU